rnacentral:tRNA from 1 species
CGCGGGGUAGAGCAGUUGGUAGCUCAUCGGGCUCAUAACCCGGAGGUCGUCAGUUCGAGUCUGGCCCCCGCUACCA